CGAAGGGGCUAGCGUUGCUCGGAAUUACUGGGCGUAAAGGGCGCGUAGGCGGCGGUAGUAGUCAGGCGUGAAAUUCCUGGGCUUAACCUGGGGACUGCGCUUGAUACGCUAUUGCUAGAGGACGGAAGAGGGUCGUGGAAUUCCCAGUGUAGAGGUGAAAUUCGUAGAUAUUGGGAAGAACACCGGUGGCGAAGGCGGCGACCUGGUCCGUUACUGACGCUGAGGCGCGACAGCGUGGGGAGCAAACAGGAUU
rnacentral:rRNA from 1 species